CCAACAACCUCACAACAAAGAAGACAGCAAAGCUUUAUGUCUCCUUUUCGGAGGAGGAAAUGGAGGACCAGAGAGACUCCUCCUCUGGAAAAUGAAGGCCACCCUGUCUACGUUUAGAAGUUAUCAUUAGGAUUAAAUGGGGCAAUAAACCUGAAGAGAUUGACCCAGGGCAGGGCCACGCAUGGCCACUAGUGAGAUCCUGCAAAAACAAUGAACGCAGUGGCCCAAGGAACAAGCGCGCUGUUUCUAUGGAGAGCGGAGCAGGGGCUGCCGAGCAAAACCCGGAGUCCUUAACCCUUUGCACAUGGAUGUCGAGUGUGACUCAACACGGCUAGCAUCGGUAGCAGCUGGUAUGUCGGGCCACCCUCGACACGUAGUUUCACCGCAGGGGGAAGGGGGAUUUUUGUCUACUUUUCCAGGAUCUUUUCUUGUUUUCAUUAGC